rnacentral:rRNA from 1 species
GACGAACGCUGGCGGCGUGCUUAACACAUGCAAGUCGAACGGAAAGGCCUGCUUUCCCUUGUGGAUUGCGGGUACUCGAGUGGCGAACGGGUGAGUAACACGUGAGUGAUCUGCCCCCAACUUGGGUAUAAGCCUGGGAAACUGGGUCUAAUUCCCGAUAGGACUGCAGGGUGGUGCCUGUGGUGGAAAACGAUUUUCUAGUGGUUGGGGAUGAGCUCGCGGCCUAUCAGCUUGUUGGUGGGGUAAUGGCCUACCAAGGCGGCGACGGGUAGCCGGCCUGAGAGGGUGGACGGGCACAUUGGGACUGAGAUACGGCCCAGACUCCUACGGGAGGAAGCAGUGGGGAAGAUUGCACAAUGGGCGGAAGCCUGAUGCAGCGACGCCGCGUGGGGGAUGACGGCCUUCGGGUUGUAAACUCCUUUCGACCGCGAGGAAGCCACCUGGUUGGAAGGGUGGUGACGGUAGUGGUAGAAGAAGCACCGGCUAACUACGUG